GAUGGAUUUAAAGCUUUUUAUUUUAUUUUGCUGGAUAAAGAUUAAUCUCGUUCGAAGAAAAUUGAUUUUUUGUCGUUAAUCUGUGACUCAGGGGUAGGAUCCACCCGGGAUUAAAACGACUGGUAUGACGUGACGGCCAGCGUUAAUUUGUAUCAAAAUCACCAGGGGAAAGCAACACCUGGGUCCACGUAGUACGUUCCCAACCAUGAGGAGGUGACAGCCAGAUAACUCUGCUGCUCGGUCUUGCUGCUUGGACAUAUGGCAAGGAUCACUUUCUCAUGCCUGCCAGCCUCCUGGUACUGCAGUGUGUCCUUGCUGUCUCUGGGUUGUGUGCCCAGGCAAAGGGCCUUCUUCCUGGUGUUCCUCACCUGCUCUGCCCUGGUUUUCCUGGGGUCUACCAGACUGAGCUCUGGGGGCCCCAGCGCC